rnacentral:tRNA from 1 species
GAAGGGUCUAAGUAAUUUAAUUAAAAUACUGGCCUUGUAAGCCAGCAACGAAGGAAAAA